rnacentral:rRNA from 1 species
GACGAACGCUGGCGGCGUGCUUAACACAUGCGAGUCGAACGGAAAGGCCCUGCUUUUGUGGGGUGCUCGAGUGGCGAACGGGUGAGUAACACGUGAGUAACCUGCCCUUGACUUUGGGAUAACUUCAGGAAACUGGGGCUAAUACCGGAUAGGAGCUCCUGCUGCAUGGUGGGGGUUGGAAAGUUUCGGCGGUUGGGGAUGGACUCGCGGCUUAUCAGCUUGUUGGUGGGGUAGUGGCUUACCUAGGCUUUGACGGGUAGCCGGCCUGAGAGGGUGACCGGCCACAUUGGGACUGAGAUACGGCCCAGACUCCUACGGGAGGCAGCAGUGGGGAAUAUUGCACAAUGGGCGGAAGCCUGAUGCAGCAACGCCGCGUGCGGGAUGACGGCCUUCGGGUUGUAAACCGCUUUCGCCUGUGACGAAGCGUGAGUGACGGUAAUGGGUAAAGAAGCACCGGCUAACUACGUG